GAGACGCGGCGGUAGAAGGCAUGCCUUCCGUGCAGAUGUUAUCCUUGACGCCGAUGAAAACUCCGGCGAGAGGACCUAACUCCUCACCUCUGGCGAUUCGUGCAUCGAUCUCUUGAGCAUCUUUCAGGACAUUCUCCGAUAUGUGAAGGAAGCAUUUGAGCUGCGGUUCGGUGAGACGGAUACGGGAGAGGUAGGAUUUUGCGAUCUCAGAAGCUGUGGUUUCGCCGGAGAGGAGAGAGCGUCGAGUGCUGAGAAUCUGAGAUUGCGGAGGAGAGACGGUAGCAGCGUCGAUUGUCGAGGAAGCUGCGGAUACGAUUGGUCUAGAGCUUAGUGACGAUCCAACACCAGUGAUUACAACAUUCCGCCACUCUAAACCCAGGAAAAACAAAAAAUUUAAAAUUUGAAAUCAAAUUGCAACACGAAGGUGAGAAAUUCUUCGAUUCCUCACUAAAUUAGAAGAACCCAUCAUGAGGAAAACGAGAAAGACACUAACUUUUUUUACUUUUCCAAUGAGGAAGAGGAGCUUCAUCUUCAAUAAGAGCCCAACCACCAUAUUUUUCUUUGGAAGCUUGAGAGACCCAUGAGGUACCGGAGAGAGAAGCGACGA
rnacentral:lncRNA from 1 species